CAGUGAUAAACUGGAGGAAGGUGGGGAUGACGUCAAGUCAUCAUGGCCCUUACGACCAGGGCUACACACGUGCUACAAUGGCGCAUACAAAGAGAAGCGACCUCGCGAGAGCAAGCGGACCUCAUAAAGUGCGUCGUAGUCCGGAUUGGAGUCUGCAACUCGACUCCAUGAAGUCGGAAUCGCUAGUAAUCGUGGAUCAGAAUGCCACGGUGAAUACGUUCCCGGGCCUUGUACACACCGCCCGUCACACCAUGGGAGUGGGUUGCAAAAGAAGUAGGUAGCU
rnacentral:rRNA from 1 species